UUAGUUGGUAAAGCACUUGUCUAGCGAAUAAGGGUCGUGAGUUCAAAUCUCACCUGAGCUG
rfam:Aedes albopictus isolate Foshan contig85489, whole genome shotgun sequence.